rnacentral:lncRNA from 1 species
GCCAUCUUGGCUGAGGGCAAAGACGCUCCUGGCGCUCCCGUCUUUCGGCUUGCCUCAGUUGCCACUGCCAUCUUGGAUCAGGGUAAUUCCCGCCUCUUGGGCGCUCCCGGUUACAACCUCGGCGCCAUCUUGGAUUAGUUCAAUGUAGCCACCCUCUCCAGGCCCGCUGCUUCUGCCAGCUGGAUGUUGCGUCGUCCCUCGCUAUUCGCCCUCCUAUAAUCACUGCUUCCAUGUUGAAUCAAAACAAUUAUGCUUUCGUUCUCCCUUCUUCAAUUGCCCUAUCUUCACACCUGAACACUAUUGCUCCGGUAUCCUGCCAUUUUGGAUCAGGGCGGUUGACGGUGGAUUCACUUCCCAUCAGCCCUUGAGGCUGCAGGGACCAGCCCUUUGUACAGUGGAGAAGCCCAGGCGGCCUAGAAUCCAGUGUCGUCCGUGAGUGCUUGGCUGGUGUUCAAGUGCAUCUUCCAGCCUGAGACCGCGUGGACUCGCUCAUCGUGAGGGCGAGAGGAGGAUAAGCCCAUUGGGCUGUCGGCUGAGAGUGAGAUUGCUGAUGAAAUCCUUGGCAUCGUCGGAGAUCUCAUCGAAUGCCUCGUCGUCGAAGUCCCAGGUGGCUGAGGUAACGUUGGCCAAGGUUUCGUUAUCGUUGUCUCCCAUGAAGGGGGAAAGGCCACUGACUCUGGAGAGACAAGAGCAGGACAGCAGGUGUGGCUAGGAGAGGGCGCGACGACCAGAUGAGGGAAUUGAGGCACAGCCCAGGCUCAAGUCACCUGCCCAAAGAUUCACAGCCAGUGAGAUUGGAAGCCAGGUAUCUGCCUCUAGAGCCUGUCCUCUUAAAUGCUAUACUAUCCUAACAUUUCUGUAAAGAUGAAGUAAAUUGCAGUGUUCAGCACUGGCACCAGGCCUGGUCCACAGUAAGGAGGCGGUCCAUGCCCGGAGAUCUCAUGCAGUUCUGCUGGGUUCCCUCCACUGCCUUACCAAGCUGUGAGUGCAGGAAUGACUUUGUGACCAGCAGCUUAAGCCAAAUAAACUUUAUAAGGUAAAGAAUUUCAAAACAAAAUAGAGCAGAUUUGUGGCUUACUGACCUUACCUCUCACCUCUGUGCACCUCACCUUCAUAGCAACAACUCACCCCACUGUUCAUGAGGGCCUUGUGAGUCAGCCUCAUGGGUGUUAGACCAGCACAGUUGCCCACAGUCCCACCCUUAGACAGGCCCUGUGCUUGGUUUAAUGCUCUGCUGCUGUCGUCUCAAGAUUCUCAAUAAGGUUUGAACAAGUGGCCCCACCUUUCAUGUUGCAAAUUGUGUAGCUGUUCCUGCCCUGAUCUCAGCUGAGCCCCAUGAGAUGGGUCUGGGGGCCAGGCGUGGUGGCUCAUGCCUGUAAUCCCAGCACUUUGGGAGGCCAAAAUGGAUGGAUCACCUGAGGUCAGGAGUUUGAGGCUAGCCUGGCCAACACGGUGAAGUCCUGUCUCUACUAAAAAUACAAAAAUUAGCUGGGCAUGGUGGCAAGCACCUGUAAUCCCAGCUACUCGGGAGGCUGAGGCAGGAGAAUUGCUUGAACCCUGGAGGUGGAGGUUGCAGUGAGCCAAUAUCGCACCAUUGCACUCCAACCUGGGCAACAAGCGAAACUCAAUCUCAAAAAAAAAAAAAAAAAGAGAGAUGGGUCUGGGGCCCUCCUGCCAUCAACCUGUCAAGUUAGGGCUUUACCAAUGUCCCUUCUCCCAAAUGCUUAUGAAUCCAUCAUCAUAAGCCAAGCACUGACAGCUU